UGCCUGAAAGCGAAAAUUCGCGCUAAGUUUCGGCCUUAGUCUUGGGAAAUAUUCCCUUAGGUAU
rnacentral:tRNA from 1 species